rnacentral:lncRNA from 1 species
ACAAGUUCGCAUUAUAAAUUAUUAUAUAGUAGAGAGUAUUUAUACGAACUAAAUCACCACCAUAAUAUACCAGACCAAUUACGACAAAGCGCAUAUCAGUACAAACGAAUAUAUAUUAUAUAUGUCACCAAAACAUAGAUAUAAAACAUUAUUGUGUGUAAAGGAAUGUUAAUAACCUGCAACGGAACGGAUCAUUAUAUGCCAUAUAUAUGUGUUUGUUGGUGGUGGGGUUUGACGUCUGGUAUUUCGAAGCAAAACUUGUUAUUACAUCAAGUCUUUAACUCUUUAGCGCUACUAAAAUUAAAAAAAAGAUCAUUUGGAACUGGAACCAUAAAUGCAACAAAUCAAAAGUAUAGCAACCUCUGUUUGAUUGGGUAUAUCCAUGAGGGGUAACAAGCCCACUAGCAACAGCAACAGCUGAAGCAAAGUUGUAUUACACAAAUAUCAAUUGGACUCUAUUCUAGGACAAGAAAAUGUAACCACAAUGCCUCCAAUUACGGCCACACACGACACUUACUGAUUGCUGAUGUGAUAGUUAAUAAUAUAUAUAUAUAAGAAAAUCCUUUAGGAAGCAUAAACCUUUCUUUUCAUUUGCGUUAUCUGUAGGAUUUGAAUCCGGGAACAUAUAAUGGACCAACCAUUAUGGCUGACGAGGUAGCCGAUUGUUUUCCUGAAAACAGAGAUAAAAUUAAGAUUAUAGACAUUGCCUGUGGGAGUGGUCGUGUAGGAAAUGAGAUGAACACGACUGUUUGGUUUUAUCGGGCGGGAUGGGAGAGAGUCAUGUACCUUGUUCCGGAAUACUUCAGAUGAUACGUAUCGUAAAGCCAGGCGGAUUAGUUUUGAUCUUGAUGAGGAAAGAAUUUCUGGAGAAUGUAGGGGAGUACGCAGAUAAACUGGAGCCUUUCUUUGCCAAACUUGAACGCGAAAACCAGUUGGAAAUGGUUGAGAGGAGAGUGGUGCCGAACUAUUCCUUUAACAGAGAUGGAGUCCUAUUUAAAAUUAAAGUAAAGAAUGGUAUUUAAAUUGUGUGGGAAUUUGAAUGGAUGAGGGAAAUAAACUGAUCAUUUGAUUAAAUAAAACUGUUUUGUGUACUUGUCAUACCUUACCCAUAUGUAUUGUAAAAGCAAUAGUCAUGUACAAGAAAACAUACUAGCCGAUUUCAGUCACCCAUUUCUCAUUUUAAAAGCGGAGAUUGACAAAUGCAUGUUAUUGUGGGCGGUAUUUUUCGCCCAGAUAUGUGAAAAUAUAUAUUUGUUAGUUUAGUUUAGUUUAAACAUAUUGUAUUGCCAAUAUAUACAUAUAUAAACAGAUAACUACGUCAGUUGUACAUA